AAUAGGCCGAAACCUGAUCUUGAGGUGCGGGGGACGAAAGUUGAAAACGAACCGUGUUAAACGUAAUUCGUAUUCUUGGGGUGAAGCGCAUCAAAGGAUGCGCCGGGAACGUUCCUUUUUCCCGAAUCCGACAACUAACUCCGCAGGCGCAGCAAAAAGGA
rnacentral:sRNA from 1 species